rnacentral:rRNA from 1 species
AUUGAACGCUGGCGGCAGGCUUAACACAUGCAAGUCGAGCGGGGGAAGGUAGCUUGCUGCAGAACCUAGCGGCGGACGGGGGGGUAAUGCUUAGGAAGCUGCCUAUUGGAGGGGGAAAACAUCUCGAAAGGGAUGCGAAUAUCGCAUAGGGCCUAGGGGAGAAAGAAGGGGAACUGCGGACCUUGCGGGAAUAGAAGAGCAUACGGCGGAUUAGCUAGUUGGUGGGGUAAAGGCCUACCAAGGCGACGAUCUGUAGCGGGUCUGAGAGGAUGAUCCGCCACACUGGGACUGAGACACGGCCCAGACUCCUACGGGAGGCAGCAGUGGGGAAUAUUGGACAAUGGGGGGAACCCUGAUCCAGCCAUGCCGCGUGUGUGAAGAAGGCCUUAUGGUUGUAAAGCACUUUAAGCGAGGAGGAGGCUACUCUAGUUAAUACCUAGGGAUAGUGGACGUUACUCGCAGAAUAAGCACCGGCUAACUCUGUGCCAGCCGCCGCGGUAA